UACGAAGGGGGCUAGCGUUGUUCGGAAUUACUGGGCGUAAAGCGCACGUAGGCGGAUAUUUAAGUCAGGGGUGAAAGCCCGGGGCUCAACUCCGGAAUUGCCUUUAAGACUGCAUCGCUAGAAUUGUGGAGAGGUGAGUGGAAUUCCGAGUGUAGAGGUGAAAUUCGUAGAUAUUCGGAAGAACACCAGUGGCGAAGGCGACUCACUGGACACAUAUUGACGCUGAGGUGCGAAAGCGUGGGGAGCAAACAGG
rnacentral:rRNA from 1 species